GACGAACGCUGGCGGCGUGCUUAACACAUGCAAGUCGAACGGAAAGGCCCUUCGGGGUACUCGAGUGGCGAACGGGUGAGUAACACGUGGGUGAUCUGCCCUGCACUUUGGGAUAAGCCUGGGAAACUGGGUCUAAUACCGAAUAUGAUCAUCGGCUUCAUGGUCGGUGGUGGAAAGCUUUUGCGGUGUGGGAUGGGCCCGCGGCCUAUCAGCUUGUUGGUGGGGUAAUGGCCUACCAAGGCGACGACGGGUAGCCGGCCUGAGAGGGUGACCGGCCACACUGGGACUGAGAUACGGCCCAGACUCCUACGGGAGGCAGCAGUGGGGAAUAUUGCACAAUGGGCGCAAGCCUGAUGCAGCGACGCCGCGUGAGGGAUGACGGCCUUCGGGUUGUAAACCUCUUUCAGCACAGACGAAGCGAAAGUGACGGUAUGUGCAGAAGAAGGACCGGCCAACUACGUG
rnacentral:rRNA from 1 species